UCUCCGUUGGUGAACCAGCGGAGGGAUCAUUACAGGACUCGCAAGACUCCUACAACCCUGUGAACUUAACUAUAAGCACGUUGCUUCGGCGGGUGUCUCGGAGGGGGUUCUCUCUCCCCGAGACGCUAAACCCGCCGGCAGCCUACUAUACUCUGUCUCUUUGCGUUGGCAUCUCGAGUACAAUCAAACAAGUUAAAACUUUCAACAACGGAUCUCUUGGUUCUG
rnacentral:misc_RNA from 1 species